UCCUUUUAGCAAUGCACGUGCACGUGCAGUACAUUAACACACGUGAUGGACGAUAGAAUAGAAAAGUAAUAAUUCAAUUAAGAAUUAAGAAAAGAAGAAGACUUAAGGAUAAAACAACAAGGAAAAAGCAGAGAUGUAGGAAAGAAAUUAAGAUUAAAAGUAUUGAUAAAUAACAAAAUAUUAAGAACAAUGAUAUUGAUAAGGGUAAGUUGUGCAAAACAUGACAGAAUGCAGAGAUUCCCUCUGA